rnacentral:ncRNA from 1 species
CCCCGGGGACGACCCCGGGAAGAACGCUAUUUUGCUGCGGGACGACCCGC